rnacentral:rRNA from 1 species
GAUGAACGCUGGCGGCGUGCCUAAUACAUGCAAGUCGAGCGAACAGACGAGGAGCUUGCUCCUCUGACGUUAGCGGCGGACGGGUGAGUAACACGUGGAUAACCUACCUAUAAGACUGGGAUAACUUCGGGAAACCGGAGCUAAUACCGGAUAAUAUAUUGAACCGCAUGGUUCAAUAGUGAAAGACGGUUUUGCUGUCACUUAUAGAUGGAUCCGCGCCGCAUUAGCUAGUUGGUAAGGUAACGGCUUACCAAGGCGACGAUGCGUAGCCGACCUGAGAGGGUGAUCGGCCACACUGGAACUGAGACACGGUCCAGACUCCUACGGGAGGCAGCAGUAGGGAAUCUUCCGCAAUGGGCGAAAGCUUGACGGAGCAACGCCGCGUGAGUGAUGAAGGUCUUCGGAUCGUAAAACUCUGUUAUUAGGGAAGAACAAAUGUGUAAGUAACUAUGCACGUCUUGACGGUACCCAAUCAGAAAGCCACGGCUAACUACGUG